rnacentral:Y_RNA from 1 species
GGCUGGUCCAAGUGCAGUGGUGUUUACAACUAAUUGAUCAUAACCAGUUACUUAUUUCUUUGUUCCUUCUCCACUCCCACUCCUGCACUUGACUAACCUAAA